rnacentral:lncRNA from 1 species
UGAAACUCCACGCUCACAGCACCAAUUUGUUUACACCGAUUUUUGGUAACGUAAACAUAAUUAUCCAUUGUUACUUUAAGACCUGGAUAAAAGUCCUUCUAACUGCAGGAUCCGAUAAGAAUCAUUUUUUGAAGUGUUCGUUCAAGUCUCGGGAUUUAUGAUGUACUUCAUGCGUCUUUAAGAACAAAAUCAUUGUUCCUUUUAGUGUUAGAAUCACAUCCAACAACUUUUAACAACAAAUUGUCUCGUGACAACAUAAAACAAAAAGAUACUCAAGUGAGUAUUGAAAACUGAAAAGAAAGAAAAAUAAAGAAGAUGAAAAUGAAUGCAUAAUUGCAAAAGAAAAAAAAAGGAAAAUAAAGCAAGAACAAUUCGAUAUUAAAUUGCAUGAAAUGUAAAGGGUGGUUGGAAUCCAUUCCUAUGCGCUCCUUGAACCUGUUUGCUCCGUGGCGUGGGCAUUGCAGAGUUUUUAGAAAAUAAGGUUCAACCCUUUGUACAUAGAAAUUACAACUAUUUAUAGA